UACGUAGGGGGCUAGCGUUGUCCGGAUUCAUUGGGCGUAAAGAGCGUGUAGGCGGCCAGGUAGGUCGGUUGUGAAAACUGGAGGCUCAACCUUCAGACGUCGACCGAAACCAUCUGGCUAGAGUCCGGGAGAGGAGAGUGGAAUUCCUGGUGUAGCGGUGAAAUGCGCAGAUAUCAGGAAGAACACCCAUGGCGAAAGCGGCUCUCUGGAACGGUACUGACGCUGAGACGCGAAAGCGUGGGGAGCGAACAGG
rnacentral:rRNA from 1 species